rnacentral:rRNA from 1 species
GUGAGGAAUAUUGCGCAAUGGAGGCAACUCUGACGCAGCCAUGCCGCGUGCAGGAAGAAGGCGCUACGCGUUGUAAACUGCUUUUAACCGGGAAGAAACCCCAGGACGUGUCCUGGGUUGACGGUACCGGAGGAAUAAGCACCGGCUAACUUCGUGCCAGCAGCCGCGGUAAUACGAAGGGUGCAAGCGUUAUCCGGAUUCAUUGGGUUUAAAGGGUGCGUAGGCGGAGCGUUAAGUCAGUGGUGAAAUCCUGCAGCUUAACUGUAGACUUACCAUUGAUACUGGCGCACUUGAGUGCGCUUGAAGUGGGCGGAAUGUGCCGUGUAGCGGUGAAAUGCUUAGAUAUGGCACAGAACACCAAUUGCGAAGGCAGCUCACUAAGGCGAUACUGACGCUGAGGCACGAAAGCGUGGGGAUCGAACAGGAUUAGAAACCCGAGUAGUCC